rnacentral:rRNA from 1 species
UACGUAGGCAGCAAGCGUUGUUCGGAGUUACUGGGCGUAAAGGGUGUGUAGGCGGUUUUCUAAGUCUGGUGUGAAAUCUCCCGGCUCAACUGGGAGGGUGCGCCGAAAACUGGAAGCUAGAGUGCGGGAUGGGAGAGUGGAAUUCCUGGUGUAGCGGUGAAAUGCGCAGAUAUCGGGAGGAACACCAGUAGCGAAGGCGGCACUCUGGGCCGUGACUGACGCUGAGGAGCGAAAGCGUGGGUAGCAAACAGG